GCGCGGCUGUAGUCCAAGUUACCGGGAGGCUGAGGCUGGCGCAUCGUUUGAGCUCAGGAGCUCUGAGCUGCAGUAGACUAUGAAGAUCGGGUGUCCGCACUAAGUUCGGUAUCGAUAAGGAUGCAGCGAUCCAGGUCGGAGACGGAGCAGGUCAAAGCCCCCGUGACGCUCAGCAGUGGGAUCGCGCCUGUGAAUAGACGCUGUAGUGCAGCCUGCGUAAUACAGUGGGGCCCAGUCUUUAUACUGUUCAACAAACAGCUGGGACGUCUUUACAACGUGUUUACAUGUUACAGCAGCUUCAUCACUGCUUCUUUACAUUCUAGUUCCCAUGAAAACAUUCAGUAACCAGUUGUGUUUGUUUGUCCUACAGCGCCUCCACCUGGAGGAGAGGAGCGGUGAGCAUCACUCACAGCAGUCAGUGCAGCGCCACAGAUGCAGCAAACUAACGGGGCUUUCGUUAUGACAUUCAAUGAACUUGAUGAAGAGGAUCAUAAAUCAAGGAUCAUAAUCAGAGGGACGUCUGUGCUGUGUUUUUGUAAGGCCUCUGGUGGAGAUCCACCGGGAGCAGGUGCUUCUUCCUCCUCAUCCUCCACGUUCAACACCAACUCCUGCUCUUCUCAAAGUUAAAUAAAGUCCAUCAAAGUUAAAUAAUGUCCAUCAAUCUCUGUAUUACAUACGACUUUAUUAUGACAUACUAUAUGACCAUUUUAGACUUUUUCCGACUUACUAACCUCUACUAAAUCACGACUCUUUUGACAUUCUAUUCUAUGCCUUCUUUUUACUUUUAUCAACAAAAUAUACUAUGCCUUUUUUUUUGCUUUUUUGGACAUACUAUACUGUGACUUCUUUUUCAACAUACCAUACUAUGACUCCUUUUACAUUUUUUGACAUACGAUAAAAUGACUCUUAUGACAAUAGCCAAAGUAAAAGUGUUUGCCAUUUCUACCAGUAGAUGAUAGUAUACGUGUGUAAACCAUAGAUUUAGUCAUAUUUACUUGUGUCUUUGUUAAUUAUCUAGGUUAUUAAUACAGAUCUGUUGAAUGAUGUUUAUAUAAUCUGAUAUUUGAAGUUCAUGGUUAAUUUGCAACCUAGUUGUAAAUUUGUGUCAUUUAAGAACCAAAUAUACCGACAUGAAAGAGUGAGCAUGUGCUGAUCAUGAGGCAAUA